GGCUGGAUCAUUAACGAUCUGUUAUCACUUACUCGUUUCUUUGUCGAAACGAUGGC
rnacentral:rRNA from 1 species